UGCAAGUCGAACGGAGUUAAGAAAGAAGUUUACUUUUUACUUAACUUAGUGGCGGACGGGUGAGUAACGCGUGGAUAAUCUGCCUGUAAGACAGGAAUAACGCCGGGAAACCGGUGCUAAUACCGGAUAACCUCUUUGAGCCGCAUGGCUUAAAGAGGAAAGGUGGCCUCUUUAUAAUGCUGCCGCUUACAGAUGAAUCCGCGUCCCAUUAGCCAGUUGGUGGGGUAACGGCCCACCAAAGCGACGAUGGGUAGCCGGCCUGAGAGGGUGAUCGGCCACACUGGAACUGAGACACGGUCCAGACUCCUACGGGAGGCAGCAGUGGGGAAUCUUCCGCAAUGGGCGAAAGCCUGACGGAGCAACGCCGCGUGAGCGAAGAAGGCCUUCGGGUUGUAAAGCUCUGUGAUAUUGGACGAACAGAUCUCUUGUAAACAGCAAGAGGAAAUGACGGUACAAUAAGAGGAAGCCACGGCUAACUACGUGCCAGCAGCCGCGGUAAUACGUAGGUGGCAAACGUUGUCCGGAAUUACUGGGCGUAAAGGGCGAGUAGGUGGUUUAUUAAGUCAGAAGUGAAAACUCCGGGCUCAACCUGGAGACUGCUUCUGAAACUGGUAGACUUGAGUGCAGGAGAGGGAAGUGGAAUUCCUAGUGUAGCGGUGAAAUGCGUAGAUAUUAGGAGGAACACCAGUGGCGAAGGCGACUUCCUGGCCUGUAACUGACACUGAGGCGCGAAAGCGUGG
rnacentral:rRNA from 1 species